ACAGAGGGUGCUAGCGUUGUUCGGAAUCAUUGGGCGUAAAGGGCGUGUAGGCGGUUUGUUAAGUCAUGUGUGAAAACCCAUGGCUCAACCAUGGAAGGGCGUCCAAAACUGGCAAGCUAGAGUCCCGACGAGGAUGGCGGAAUUCCCAGUGUAGAGGUGAAAUUCGUAGAUAUUGGGAGGAACACCGGUGGCGAAGGCGGCCAUCUGGGAGGGCACUGACGCUGAGACGCGAAAACGUGGGGAGCAAACAGGA
rnacentral:rRNA from 1 species